UAUUGGUCAAUAGCUUAACGGCUGAACCAGCAACUUGGAGGAAUGAAUAGGGAAAACUGGUAAAAGGUGAUGUACCUAGUAGUAUAAGAAAUUAAUAUGAGAUUAACUAAGUUAACUAAAAUUCUAAGCAGAUAUUUGAUUAUGACACUAUCUGUAUAGGUCUUGACCAAGUCACGUGCCAGCAGUCGCGGUAAUACGUGGAAGACAAGUGUUAUUCAUCUUUAAUGGGUUUAAAGGGUACCUAGACGGUUAAUUAAGCAAUUAAAUGUACUAAUUAACUAGAGUUUAAUGUAAGAAAGAUGAGUACUGUUAGAGUAGAGAUAAAAUUCUAGGAUACUAUCAGGAACUGGUAAGAGCGAAGGCUACUUUCAAUGUAAAAACUGACGUUAAAGGACGAAG
rnacentral:rRNA from 1 species